AUGUGUGAAAUGCGCAAAGGGUAAAUUAAAGUUUGAUUUUUGAGUCUAGCUUUUCAAACGCGUUACACUGGAACACGCACGCGUGUUUACGUCUCUCACGUGUUUUACGUCUCAGAAUCACAGCGAAGCGUUUCACGCGUGUGGCUUCGUCUUCUCAUCUACGAAACUUCACAGAUGUCUGCAGAGCCACUUUGCAGGAUGGAAGCUACGUCCAUUAUAUUCAGCCCGCUCUCGGCUGUCACGUCGGCUGCAUUUCUCUUUGUGCAAGACGACGACCGUGAGGGCGACGGGCAGAACAGCCGUCACCUCAAUGUCUCCCUGCCUGAUCAUGAAUGAGACACUCGUAAAGAGCCACCAUCUCACCCACAAAUGACCAUCAGUUAUAGAGCACGAUGGCUUGACUGAUCAGCGUCAAUCUCUUGUUCGGGCCGCAUUCUUUUCCAGCAUUCCCGCGCUCA